UGUCUUUUCUCAGUCUUCACCCCCUCAAUCGAGUCCCCGUUGCUCUGCCGGCGGGCUCCCGCAGGUGGCGACCAACGUGGAAGCUCGAAAACACGGGAACAGGUAGAGGAAAACUGCCCGGUGAACAAAGACGCGUCGAAUAAAAAGACUCCCCGACCUGUGUGUAGCAAGAGCUGUGGCCUGGGAUUCAUGAACAUUCCUCAGGAAGGGCAGCCUGUCUGCUGCUUUGAUUGCAUUUUGGGUCCAGAAUAAAGAAUAGCUAAUCAAACAGAGGUGCCUCCGACAAAGACCUGUUGAUCUGCUUCCAAGAGAUCAAAGACACAGAAGACCACAGGGAGCACAGUCCUGCUCUGCGUUUCUGCCGAUUCCAGGAGUCGAGUCGAGUCAAAUGCAUCAAACAGCUAUUUUGACAAGUCACACAACUUUUCAUGGAAAGAUGAUAUGUGGGUUUUUAAAAAUCAGAGUUGUCAGGUAGAUAUAGAGAAGAGACAAUUAAAACCAAUAAAACCGUAUACCUGACCAUCCUGAGAUUUGAAAGAGGUCACCCUUUCCUCUGUUUCAUGUUCCCUCUCACUUUUCCCCCUAGAUAGUGGUCAACUUUGGGAGUGCACCCAAAGUCAGUACCCCAACACUGAGAGGAAUCGCUGUCUACCCAAAAGUGUGACCUCCCUGGAUUAUCAAGACCCACUGGGGAUGGCUCUGGCCUGCACAGCUCUGUGCUUCCCUGUCAUCACUGCCCUGGUUUUGUGGGUCUAUGUGAAAUACAGAGACUCUCCCAUGGUUAAGGCCAAGAACCGCACCCUCAGUCACGUCCUCCUCCUCUACCUCCUAAUCUGCUUCCUCCGCUCCUUACUCUUCAUCAGUCUUCCAAACACAGUCACCUGCGUCCUCAGCAAUAUCUCCUUUGCAGUCGUAUUCACUGUGGCUGUUUCCACCACUUUUGGCCAAAACCAUCACUGUGAUUCUGGCUUGCAAGGUCAUGAGACCUGGAGGAAUUAUGAGGCAGUUGCUGGUGCCUGGGGUUGUAAACCUGGUGGUUCCCUUUUGUUCCCUUCUCCAAUUGAUUAUUUGUGGGAUCUGGCUGGGAACAGCGGCCCCUUUCACUGCCAUAAGCACAUACUCUGAACCCAGGAUAAUCACCAUUGAGUGCAACAAGGGCUCUGUCACUGCCUUCUAUUGUGUCCUGGGAUUCCUGGGCUUCUUGGCCCUGGGGACAUUUUUCUUGGCUUACCAAGCCAGAAGCCUGCCUGACACCUUCAAUGAGGCCAAGGUCCUGACCUUCAGCAUGCUGGUGUUCUGCAGUGACUGGGUGAACUUCCUCCCUGUCUACCACAGCACCCAGGGGAAGGUCAUGGUGGCUGUGGAGAACUUCUCCAUCUUGGCCUCCAGUGUGGGGCUUCGAGGCUGCAUCUUUGCCCCAAAGUGCUAUAUUAUCUUACGACAUCCAGAUGGGAACACAUCAAAAGGGUUAAAGAAUAAAACAUCUACGAGGGACAAUGAUCAGAA